CUUUCCAGGAGCACCACCAACAUAUCCAAAGUCAGCAUCAGCCAUCUCCCCAGGUCCAUUCACAAUGCAACCCAUGAUGGCAAUUGAAACACCAGGCAAGUGUGACGUCUUCUCUCUAAUUUGAGCGCUUAUCUCUUGAAGAUCGAAUAAAGUUCUGCCACAGGAUGGGCAUGAUACAUAUUCCGUUUUUGUGUUCCGCAUUCUGCAACCUUGAAGCAAAUUGAAAGAUGUAUUUCUGAGAAAAUCAAAAUCCUUGUCUGGAGCUUCCAAGAGAAGUCCAUCACCAAGCCCAUCUACCAAGAGGGCUCCCGCAUUUGUCCCGGCACCAAUCACUAAGUCAUCUCUGUGGGUGUUGCUGGGAAAUUGUAUGUGAUGAAUCACUGGAAAGUUCAAGGAAUUCUCGGAAAGAUACUCAAAAAGCCUCCUGGCUGCUUGAACCCUGCCAAUUUUUUCCUCUGUAUAUGGCAGAUUAUGAAGAAUCAUUGUAACAUCAGAGCUCUUCAGGAUUUCCAACUCAUCAUGUGAUUCAUCGCCACGCAGAGACACAACCAAUCUCGUACCUUCGGGAAGAAGCUUGUGAGCACCACCAGACAACUCCUUCAGAGUAACCAAGACCAUGGCAUUG
rnacentral:misc_RNA from 1 species